UCUUAUGGAUGAGCAGAGAAAGUGGUUUCUUGAAGUGGAAUCUACCUCUUGAAGAUGCUGUGAA
rnacentral:pre_miRNA from 1 species